AUACAAUAUAAACAGAAAAAUGAAUUGUAAGUUGGUUGAUUUAAAUCCAAAUAUAUCAGUAAUUUCAUUAAACAUAAAUGGACUAAAUGCUUAAACUAAAAGAAGAAAAUACUGUCAGAUUUGAUUGAAAUGAGCCAAGCUUUAUGCUGUUUUAAAGGUACAUCUUAGGGGCUGGUGCUGUGGUGCAGUAGGUUAAAGCCCUGGCCUGAAGCACCGGCAUCCCAUAUGGGCGCUAGUUCUAGUCCUGGCUGCUCCUCUUCUGAUCCAACAACUGGAUGGAGUUCUGGACUUCUGGCUUCAGCCUGGCUCAGUCCUGUUCAUUGUGGCCCAUUUGAGGAGUGAAUCAACAGAUGGAAGAUCUCAAAAUCUCUUUCUCUCGCCUGUCUCUGUCUCUUCCUCUUUCUCUGUCAGUCUGCCUUUCAAGCAAACUUUUUAAAUCUUAAGAGAAGAAAAGAACAGAAGGAUAGGCUGCUUGCCAUUCCCCAGGAUUAAAUCCAGUUCACGUAGCUCUGCAUUCCCAAACACCAAGAGCACCUUCGGGGCACGGAUUAUGGACUCACAGAGCAGCACUGUCCAGUAGGAUUCUCUGUGAUGCUGGAAACGCCGCAUCUGUACAGGAGGUGCAGGCCAUAUGUGACCUAGGGAGUGAAUUUUCAAUUUUAGUUCAUUUUUAAAUUAAUUUUAAUCUAAUUUGAUUGUUUUCCUUUUUUUAGGUCCUGAAACCGGAAAACAUGAGAAUACUGCGUCAUCCCACAUACUGGGGGAUCAUGUGAAAGAACGAACUUGGAAGUUAUUUUCAGCUCCAAAUGUUAUUGUUUCUGUUGAAGACAAGGGGAAAAAACGAGUUUCUUUCUGGAAGACACAGACUGUUGUCCUAGGCACCGCCUUUUCUUAUUUUUAUAUGUUCUUCUGUUGGGAUUUUUAUUGAAAUGGGCCUGUGGGGAGAAGGUUGAAUCCAGAAAACUUCACCUAGAUAAAGAGGAACUGGAUAAUUUCCCCACUGUUAUGUAAAGCAACUUACAAAUGUAUUUGCAUUAAUGGUGUUUGUUCAUAAGAGUGAAUAAACUAUUUAGAUUUUUUUUCCCCA
rnacentral:lncRNA from 1 species